rnacentral:misc_RNA from 1 species
GUCAAGGCGUGCUUUUGCGGGAUAUGGGCUACUCCGACCGCCUGUCGACUGGACACUUCUACUUUGCCUGAUUGACAAUUCUGGUAUUUACAGCUCAAUUCGACCGAUUCUGCCUUGACGUCAAUCCGUUCCAAUGUUACCGUCCUACAGUGGAGGGCGGCAAUUGGGGCCUAAUCCUCUGCCGAGUAUGUGCCCGCCAGCGACCGUCCUGGGUUGCCGCAUUAGUGUGGACGAAAAUCUCGUUCUCUAUGAAGUUGCCGGCAUCGAUCCCAUUCAACUUCGCGAGGUGAACGCGUAUCUGGGCGUUAGCUUCAGCAUGACGAAGUUCUUCUCCCGGGAGCGCAUGCGCCAGUACAUUGAAUGGGCCGGUGCGAAUGUCUCAGAUUUUCUCAUCAUUGUCGCUGAUCACUUCGAAGGCUACAACAUUGAGGUGUUCAAACGGUCAGAGCCUGAAACUGCCUUUCCGAAGGCAUUUAAUGUCGGCUAUCAGCUGCUAAAGGGAUAUGUCCGGGCAAUCCCGACAGAACUGACUUCCAGGGUUCGCGUCGUACUUGCCUCGGAGCUUCUGAUCGAGCAGGAGUGCAUCGAGAUCCUCGAUGCGAUACGAAAACUGGGCGCACGGUCGCCCGAGUUCGUUAGAGACUGCCGGACGUGGAUUCUCGAACUCAUAUCGGGCAAGCUGGAGGAUUCGGGCAUUCGCGACGGACAGCUCGAAUCUGCGCUGGAACUGCUCCUCAAUUACAUGUAUGAGGAGAUAGCCAUUAUCGCGCACGUGUCGCACUGGAUGGUGCAACCGUAUCCGCUGGCAAUCUUCCCAUAUGAACCUCGACAGGUCUUCACGGAUCUCUACAACGGAAAAUACGGCGACAUGACGAGCGUGACCAAGGGCGAGCCAUUCCGAUUCGCCAGGCUCGCUCCGCCAUCCUUUGUUCGAGCUUCCGCAGCGCGAGGCGCUUCAGGGUAGGCUGGCUGACGCGGUGCGCCGCUCACGAAGGGAGGUGGGACGAUGGAAGAGCCUGACAGGAUGGCGCCGGAUACACAAGAGCCGGUCCCUGAGAUUACGGAAGCGGAGUGGGACGACCUGCUGACCAACAUCCGCGCAGGCGCAUGUACGCCAUUCAUCGGCGCAGGCGCGUCAAUGCCAACCCUCCCUUCAGGCUCGCAAGUGGCGAAGGAAUGGACUGACAAGUAUAACUACCCUCUGGCUGAUAGCUCCGAUCUGGCGCGCGUCGCUCAGUACCUUGCGGUUACGGUCGCGCCUAUGUUUCCGAAAACCCUGAUCAAAUCGCGCUUUCAGGAAUUGGCUCCGCCGGAUUUCGAAGUCCCAACCGAACCACACGGAUUGCUAGCCGACCUGUCGCUGCCCAUAUAUGUGACCACUAACUAUGACGAUUUCAUGUUCCGGGCACUGAAGGCAAAGGGCAGGAAUCCGCAGCGCGAGGUCUGCCGUUGGAACAGGGAAGUCCGCCGAUUGCGCUCCGUGUUCGACGAUGCCGGGUACGUGCCCAGCGUCGAGCAGCCGCUCGUGUUUCACUUACACGGUCACCUGGAGCUUCCACGGUCCAUGGUUCUAACCGAAGACGACUACAUCGAUUUCCUCAUGAACGUGAAGGAUGCGAUCCCCCCGCCUGUGGAACGGGCGUUCUCCGAUGCAUCCGUGCUCUUUCUCGGCUACCGUCUCGCGGAUGUCAAUUUCCGGCUUCUCUUCCGCACCAUGGUGCAGUACAUGGAGCGAACGAACCUCUAUGGUCAUGUGUCCGUCCAGUUACUGCCUGGUGAGAUACCUCAGGAAAGGCGGCCUCAGGCGCUCACGUACCUCAACAACUACUACGAGAAGUUGAGUAUUCACGUCUACUGGGGCUCGUGUG